rnacentral:rRNA from 1 species
UACGUAGGGUGCGAGCGUUAAUCGGAAUUACUGGGCGUAAAGCGUGCGCAGGCGGUUCGUUGUGUCGGCGGUGAAAGCCCCGGGCUCAACCUGGGAAUGGCCGUUGAAACUGGCGAACUGGAGUGUGGCAGAGGGGGGUGGAAUUCCGCGUGUAGCAGUGAAAUGCGUAGAGAUGCGGAGGAACACCAGUGGCGCAAGCGGCCCCCAAGCCUGAGCCUGACGCUGAAGCGCGACAGCGUGGGGAGCAAACGGG